rnacentral:rRNA from 1 species
UACAGAGGUCCCAAGCGUUGUUCGGAUUUACUGGGCGUAAAGGGUGCGUAGGUGGUCGGGCAAGUCUCAUGUGAAAUCCCGCAGCUUAACUGCGGAACGGCAUGGGAUACUAUUCGGCUCGAGGAUUGGAGGGGGGACUGGAAUUCCCGGUGUAGCAGUGAAAUGCGUAGAUAUCGGGAGGAACACCAGUGGCGAAGGCGAGUCCCUGGACAAUUCCUGACGCUGAGGCACGAAAGCCAGGGGAGCAAACAGG